GACGAACGCUGGCGGCGUGCCUAAUACAUGCAAGUUGAGCGCUGAAGGUUGGUACUUGUACCAACUGGAUGAGCAGCGAACGGGUGAGUAACGCGUGGGGAAUCUGCCUUUGAGCGGGGGACAACAUUUGGAAACGAAUGCUAAUACCGCAUAAAAACUUUAAACACAAGUUUUAAGUUUGAAAGAUGCAAUUGCAUCACUCAAAGAUGAUCCCGCGUUGUAUUAGCUAGUUGGUGAGGUAAAGGCUCACCAAGGCGAUGAUACAUAGCCGACCUGAGAGGGUGAUAGGCCACAUUGGGACUGAGACACGGCCCAAACUCCUACGGGAGGCAGCAGUAGGGAAUCUUCGGCAAUGGACGAAAGUCUGACCGAGCAACGCCGCGUGAGUGAAGAAGGUUUUCGGAUCGUAAAACUCUGUUGGUAGAGAAGAACGUUGGUGAGAGUGGAAAGCUCAUCAAGUGACGGUAACUACCCAGAAAGGGACGGCUAACUACGU
rnacentral:rRNA from 1 species